rnacentral:rRNA from 1 species
AAAAUUCUGGAUAGAAUUAUGAUAAUGACAUUAUCUAUUCAUAAGUCUUGACCAAAUUACGUGCCAGCUGUCGCGGUAAUACGUAGAAGACAAGUGUUAUUCAUCUUUAAUAGGUUUAAAGCGUACUUAGACAGUAAAUAAAGCCUCCAAAAGGGACUAGUUUGCUAGAGUUUUAUAUGAAGGGGUUUUAAAGUACUACUGGUGUAGAGAUGAAAUUCCGUUAUACCUUAAAUGGCACAGGUUAAGGCGAAGGCAUCCUCUUAUGUAAAAACUGACGUUGAAGGACGAAGGCUUUGUGUCUCGAACAGGAUUAGAUACCCUAGUAGUCUAAGCAGAAAAUGAUGAAUGUCAUAGAUUAGAUUUAAUUUGAUCUAUAAAUGAAAGUGUAAGCAUUCCACCUCAAGAGUAAUUUGGCAACAUUGGAACUGAAAUCAUUAGACCGUUUCUGAAACCAGUAGUGAUGUAUGUUGUUUAAUUUGAUAACCCGCAAAAAACCUUACCACGAUUUGAAUAGAUAUAUUUUAUCAUACAAGCGCUGCACGGCUGUCUUCAGUUAAUGUCGUAAGACUUUGGUUAGUUCCUUUAAAUUAACGUAAACCCUUGCUUUAUUUUUAUAUAAAGUAGUUCACCGCUAUAUUGGAUGUGAUAACAGGGAUCAAGACAAGUCAUCAUGGCCUAAAUAUCG